rnacentral:antisense_RNA from 1 species
AGAAACACUGCACUGACUUCUUCUGAUGAGUACGUAGAAUAUGAGCAUAAAUCUGUGCAAGAUGAUUCAACUUCGAGAACCGCUGUUCGGGCAACGCAUCCACCUCUCAUACAC